rnacentral:rRNA from 1 species
CCCGCCGGCGGCCGGCGCACGGGUGAGUAACACGUAUGGAACCUGCCCGCAGCAGGGGGAUAAGCGGAAGAAAUUCCGUCUAAUACCGCGUAACACCGCGGAGGGCAUCCCUCGGCGGUUAAAGAUUCAUCGGCUGCGAUGGCCAUGCGGCGCAUUAGCUAGUCGGCGGGGUAACGGCCCACCGAGGCGACGAUGCGUAGGGGUUCUGAGAGGAAGGUCCCCCCACACUGGUACUGAGACACGGACCAGACUCCUACGGAAGGCAGCAG